UCAAUAACAACAAAAAAUGGCGAUAGUCACGUUGUUGCAAGUGGUGUUGCUGCGUCAUUAGAAAAUAUUGCUUCAAACACGUGUACGAAACUGGAAAACCGAGGGGAAAAGCGGGGUCCGAGGCGGCGGGUGUAGGUACCGACACGAUAUACUGAAAGAUGUAUAGAAACGGGGUUGAUCUUGUUUUUAACGGGUUUGUUUACCAUUUUUGGCUGCCAAGGGGGUGUGUUAACAAUGCUGGGCGUUAGAAUUUGGCUGCACACAUCAUAUCUCUUAAGUGCAGCAUUAGCCUUGUCUUCAUAAUUAUAUAAUGACCGGUAGUGUGUUGUUAUUUUUUUUUUUGUAUUCUCUUUAAUGUUGUAUUUUACACGCUGGAUCGGUGUAUGAUUUAUACUUCGCCACAAACAUCGUGACAGAUCGCACAUAACAUAGGCAGCCAGGGCGUCAGUAAUUUAAUCAUCCGUGAUUAUAAAAUCGGGUACUGUUUUGAUAAAAUGUAUAAAAUGGAUACCGCCUUUUACUGUGGACUUGCUUUUCGUACUCAGCCUAGGUGUUUAAUUUCAGUAUAAUCUAGUAUGUACAGAGUUUAGUAUCCUUACUGUAUAACUUGUUAUCUGUGCAGUUUAGCAAUGAAUCCUAAUGUAAACGGUAGUAAAAAUUGACAUAUGUACAUUUUUUAUUUAUUUUAUUUUUUUUGGAGGGGGGGAUUGCUGCGACACGUUUGCUUUCAUGAUUGCACAGUUGUUGUUGUUAAUGUUUUUUUGGCAGCUGACCCUUAAAAUGUCCUGUGAUUGCCAACAUAACAAACUGAGUUGUUUACAUGAAGGAUCCGGCAAAGCGGGCGGAGUCGAGGGGGGGAGGCUGCGGAGGGAGACUCGGACUGGGACACUGGUUCCCGAGUCCAGGGUUGUUUCGGUCCGGGUUCACACAGAUCCGCAUUGUUGCCACAAAGCCCUGAAUUCCAGGAUGCCAGUGCUUAUCAGCCCUUCUGCUUGCAUGGUACUGUACUGAUGAACAGCAGACUCCUUUUCUUCUUAAAGCCCGGGACCGCUUCAACAGAUGUCUCUACUGACCUCGAAGAACUGAGACGCAGUAUUACAGUAAUCACUGAAUGCUGACUAGGGGGAGCUACAUGCACAUAAUGCAGCUGAGAGGUUGCUGUGAACAGAGAUACAUAAAAAAUACAGUAAAGAAGAUAUUGACAUAUACAGCACUCCAAAAAUAUUAAGACAUUAUAACUGCAAGUACUGUAGUCAGAAUGGGUGUCAUGAGGACUGCAGUGAAGGGAUCUGGUUUCUCUUCGGUUGUCACAGUGACUAUGGAACUGUGUUCCCAUUGGACAGCAGGGGCGGCUGCUUGAUGUGACAGGCUGCCCUGGCUCAGUUAUCUCAGUGCUGAUGCUGUCCAUCUUUAAAGUACAGUACUGUGAUAACUGAAGGAUGGCAGCCCCCUUGGCACCAGAGACGAGGCGUAAUGUGAAACUGACCUCUCAGGUGCUGAGCAGCUAAAGGAACUGAAAGCAAACCGUUUUUGUAAAUUAUGUUUUUAUUUUAGUAAACGUAUCACUGUGUGUUUUAUAUUUAUUACUAAUGCAUUUUGUUUUGUAGUCAAUUCCUGUUUCCAUCCCUAACUCCAAGCAAUCAUUGCAAUGCACUGAAUUGCAUGUGCUGUACAUCAGCGCUUUAUACAUGACCACUGAACUAAGGAGAAGCAGUCAUAGUUCCCACGAACAUGUCAUGAAAGUGCAGCUCACUUUUAAUUUUAUAAAAUCAAAACGUGAUCGUAUAACCACAAUUUCUGCUAUUAUGCUGUUUCAUGUGUCCCUUCUACUUGAAUUAUAUUAUUAUUUAACCUUUUGUUGUCCUUAAACUGGCUGUUUAAAUAAACAUUUCCACGCA